rnacentral:rRNA from 1 species
UACGUAGGGGGCAAGCGUUGUCCGGAUUCAUUGGGCGUAAAGAGCGUGUAGGCGGCCUGGCAGGUCAGCUGUGAAAACUCGAGGCUCAACCUCGAGACGUCGGUUGAAACCACCUGGCUAGAGUCCGGAAGAGGAGUGUGGAAUUCCCGGUGUAGCGGUGGAAUGCGCAGAUAUCGGGAGGAACACCCGUGGCGAAGGCGGUUCUCUGGGCCUUACCUGACGCUGAGGAGCGAAAGCGUGGGGAGCGAACAGG